rnacentral:rRNA from 1 species
UACGGAGGAUGCAAGCGUUAUCCGGAUUUAUUGGGUUUAAAGGGUGCGCAGGUUGUUUGAUAAGUCAGUGGUGAAAGUCUGUCGCUUAACGGUAGGAUUGCCAUUGAUACUGUUAGACUUGAAUAUGGAUGAGGUAGGCGGAAUGUGUAGUGUAGCGGUGAAAUGCAUAGAUAUUACACAGAACACCGAUUGCGAAGGCAGCUUACUAAUCCAUCAUUGACGCUGAGGCACGAAAGCGUGGGGAGGCAAACAGGA